GACGAACGCUGGCGGCGUGCCUAAUACAUGCAAGUAGAACGCUGAAGGAGGAGCUUGCUCUUCUGGAUGAGUUGCGAACGGGUGAGUAACGCGUAGGUAACCUGCCUGGUAGCGGGGGAUAACUAUUGGAAACGAUAGCUAAUACCGCAUAACAGUAGAUGUUGCAUGACAUUUGCUUAAAAGGUGCAAUUGCACCACUACCAGAUGGACCUGCGUUGUAUUAGCUAGUUGGUGGGGUAACGGCUCACCAAGGCGACGAUACAUAGCCGACCUGAGAGGGUGAUCGGCCACACUGGGACUGAGACACGGCCCAGACUCCUACGGGAGGCAGCAGUAGGGAAUCUUCGGCAAUAGACGGAAGUCUGACCGAGCAACGCCGCGUGAGUGAAGAAGGUUUUCGGAUCGUAAAGCUCUGUUGUAAGAGAAGAACGAGUGUGAGAGUGGAAAGUUCACACUGUGACGGUAGCUUACCAGAAAGGGACGGCUAACUACGUG
rnacentral:rRNA from 1 species